rnacentral:rRNA from 1 species
AGAGUUUGAUCCUGGCUCAGAACGAACGCUGGCGGCGCGCCUAACACAUGCAAGUCGCACGAGAGGCUGUCGCAAGACAGUCGUACAGUGGCGAACGGGUGAGUAACGCGUGGGUAACCUACCCUCGAGAGGGGAAUAACCCGCCGAAAGGCGGGCUAAUGCCGCGUACGCGCCCCGGGGGAUGCCCUGGGGCGGAAAGCUGCCGCGAGGCGGUGGCGCUCGAGGAGGGGCUCACGUCCUAUCAGCUGGUUGGUAGGGUAACGGCCUACCAAGGCUGCGACGGGUAGCUGGUCUGAGAGGACGAUCAGCCACACUGGCACUGCGACACGGGCCAGACUCCUACGGGAGGCAGCAGUGAGGAAUAUUGCGCAAUGGGCGCAAGCCUGACGCAGCGACGCCGCGUGGGGGAUGAAGGGCUUCGGCUUGUAAACCCCUUUCGGGGGGGAAGACGGUCGUAUACCCAUACGACGGACGGUACCCCCAGAAGCAGCCACGGCUAACUUCGUGCCAGCAGCCGCGGUAAUACGAAGGUGGCAAGCGUUGUUCGGAAUUACUGGGCGUAAAGGGCGCGUAGGUGGCCUUGUUAGUCAGACGUGAAAUCCCCAAGCUUAACUUGGGAACUGCGUCUGAUACUGCAAGGCUUGAGUUCGGGAGAGGGAUGUGGAAUUCCCGGUGUAGCGGUGAAAUGCGCAGAUAUCGGGAGGAACACCAGUAGCGAAGGCGGCUCGCUGGGCCAUUCCUGACGCUGAGACGCGAAAGCUAGGGGAGCGAACAGGAUUAGAUACCCCCGUAGUCC